UGGGGAAUAUUGGACAAUGGGCGCAAGCCUGAUCCAGCCAUGCCGCGUGUGUGAAGAAGGCCUUUUGGUUGUAAAGCACUUUAAGCGAGGAGGAGGCUACUUGGAUUAAUACUCUGGGAUAGUGGACGUUACUCGCAGAAUAAGCACCGGCUAACUCUGUGCCAGCAGCCGCGGUAAUACAGAGGGUGCGAGCGUUAAUCGGAUUUACUGGGCGUAAAGCGUGCGUAGGCGGCUUCUUAAGUCGGAUGUGAAAUCCCUGAGCUUAACUUAGGAAUUGCAUUCGAUACUGGGAAGCUAGAGUAUGGGAGAGGAUGGUAGAAUUCCAGGUGUAGCGGUGAAAUGCGUAGAGAUCUGGAGGAAUACCGAUGGCGAAGGCAGCCAUCUGGCCUAAUACUGACGCUGAGGUACGAAAGCAUGGGGAGCAAACAGG
rnacentral:rRNA from 1 species